rnacentral:rRNA from 1 species
AGGCAGCAGUGAGGAAUUUUGCGCAAUGGGGGAAACCCUGACGCAGCAACGCCGCGUGAGUGAUGAAGGCUUUCGGGUCGUAAAGCUCUGUCAAGUGGGAAGAAACCACAAGGUGUUAAUACCACCAUGUGCUGACGGUACCACUGAAGGAAGCACCGGCUAACUCCGUGCCAGCAGCCGCGGUAAUACGGGGGGUGCAAGCGUUAUUCGGAAUUACUGGGCGUAAAGAGCGCGUAGGCGGUCUUUUAAGUCAGGUGUGAAAGCCCGGGGCUCAACCCCGGAAGUGCACUUGAAACUAAGGGACUUGAGUAUGGGAGAGGGAAGUGGAAUUCCUGGUGUAGCGGUGAAAUGCGUAGAUAUCAGGAGGAGCACCGGUGGCGAAGGCGACUUCCUGGACCAAUACUGACGCUGAGGCGCGAAGGCGUGGGGAGCAAACAGGAUUAGAUACCCUGGUAGUCCACGCAGUAAACGGUGAACACUAGGUGUAGCGGGUAUUGACCCCUGCUGUGCCGCAGCAAACGCAUUAAGUGUUCCGCCUGGGGAGUACGGCCGCAAGGUUAAAACUCAAAUGAAUUGACGG